GAAAAAUAUUAUUAUUAUUAUUAAAUUACUUUAUUACACACUCACAACGAAAAAAGAAAAGACAAACAAAAAUAAAAAAAAAAAAAAGUUCAAGAGAAGCGAUGUUAUAUAAAAAAAAUUGUGGACCUCAACAUGAUGCGUGCAAGAGCGGUCUUAUUAAUCAAGUAGUGAACUCUUCCAGACAACCCUGCAUUAAGAUGCUGGCAGGACCUAACGGGCGAGUGCAUUGGUCUUGCUGCGGUAUUUGCUGCACCGCAUCCAAAACCUACCUUAAAAUUACUCGAAAAAUUAGUACUAGAUAUUAAAAGCAAAGACGAAAGUAAAAAACCAGAUGAAAAUCAAUCAUGCGAAGAUGGACCUGCCGAUCAGAAACCGGAUGAUAAUCAACCAGACCACAAAAAGCCGGACAAUGAGGAA